rnacentral:rRNA from 1 species
AUGGAUGAUGCAGAAAUAGAUUUUUUGCUUGCUAAAAAUAAAGCAGACGUACUUGAAGCAUGCAAUUACGUCCAUGGCCAGCCAUUUCUUGUUGGCGAAUACUUUGAUGAGUGCAACUCCAGUUGUCGCGAGUUACAUGAAUAUUGCAUGGAUCAAAUGUUAGCAGGUCAUCAUGGUCUGCUAGUCCACUACAACAGAGAUCAUUUCGGACACGAUGCUGGUUCCAUCAAUGUGAGUUUCGAGGACUUACAUCUCUUCUUCAACUUCAACGAGCUCGAUGCCACUCUUGUUAGAUGCCUGAUUUUGGGAUUGAACGCGUAG